rnacentral:rRNA from 1 species
GACGAACGCUGGCGGCGUGCUUAACACAUGCAAGUCGAACGGAAAGGCCCUGCUUGCAGGGUACUCGAGUGGCGAACGGGCGAGUAACACGUGGGUGAUCUGCCCUACACUUCGGGAUAAGCCUGGGAAACUGGGUCUAAUACCGGAUAUGACCUUCCAUGUAGUGUGGGGGGUGGAAAGAUUUAUCGGUGUGGGAUGAGCCCGCGGCCUAUCAGCUUGUUGGUGGGGUAAUGGCCUACCAAGGCGUCGACGGGUAGCCGGCCUGAGAGGGUGGACGGCCACAUUGGGACUGAGCUACGGCCCAGACUCCUACGGGAGGCAGCGGUGCAGAAUAUUGCACAAUGGGCUGAAGCCUUAUGCAGCGACGCCGCGUGGGGGAUGACGGCCUUCGGGUUGUAAACCUCUUUCGACAGGGACGAAGCUUCGGUGACGGUACCUGUAGAAGAAGCACCGGCUAACUACGUG